ACAGAAAAACCCAUAGUAUAUCCUGGAAUUGCUGUAUUUUUCCAGAAUGCCUUCAUAUUUUUUGGAGGACUGGUGUUUAAGUUUGGCCGCACCGAAGACUUGUGGCAGUGAAAAUAGCAGACUUCCUGCAGCCUGGCAGCCCUGCGUGGGGUUUUUUACCGCUCACUCCCUGUCUUUUGUAAUGCCAUUUUCUAAACUUACUUCUGAGUACAGUCUCAGAUUCAAGUUGUGUAAUGCUAAAAUCAUGAGAACUCCCCGCGUGUCGACAGCAACAAAAUCUCCGUGGUGUGCACCUAAUUAACUUACACAGCGUUAAAGGAAAUUGUUUCACAUGGGUAACUUCUGUCAUUUCAUCAUGAUAUAAUUUGUAAAAAUAAAAGUAAAUUACAGAAGAAAUUAUGGAUUCAUGAGUGUAUUUGGUCUGGGGUCCAAAGAACUGCAAUGAAAGUGCUCUGAAGAUUUAAUGUGUUUUUUGAAAUGUGGCCCCUUAUUGAAAUGUCAAAUGUUACAUGAAAUAUAAGCAUUUUCUUGUUUUUAUAAACUA